rnacentral:rRNA from 1 species
UACGAAGGGGGCUAGCGUUGUUCGGAAUUACUGGGCGUAAAGCGCGCGCAGGCGGUCUUCCAAGUCAGUGGUGAAAGCCCGGAGCUCAACUCCGGAAUUGCCAUUGAAACUGUUGGACUUGAGUACGAGAGAGGUGAGUGGAAUUCCCAGUGUAGAGGUGAAAUUCGUAGAUAUUGGGAAGAACACCGGUGGCGAAGGCGGCUCACUGGCUCGUAACUGACGCUGAGACGCGAAAGCGUGGGGAGCAAACAGG